rnacentral:lncRNA from 1 species
AAGGAAAUGUCAUAAAGAUAAAGGCUAAGAGGCCCAAUCUUUAAAAAGAGCUGUGAAAAGGGUAGGAAAUAAACAACAACACAAGAUGGGGAAAAUGACAGGACUGAUGUGAUUUCCAUGGGUGGAAAAUUCCACCAAAUUGUAAAUAGUUUCUCUUCCUAAGUUCACAGUAAGAUUGUCAGUGCUGAUAAACUACACCUAGGAGAUGCCAAGUUGGGAAGAUGACAUCUUUCAAGGAUGUGGAAUCCAAUUCUCCCUUCAGAGAUGGGAAAAAAGGAGUGGGCCAUCAUGAAAGCAUUGGGGCAACACAGGGGGCGGAGUCAAGAUGGUGGCUUAGCAAGCAGCAAAAGUUCAGACCUUGUGGAAGACCCUUCCUUAACCGAUACAGACUGAAUGCUCCUAGGGCACCGAAAUUCAAGCUGAACAACAGGACAGAAGCGGGGAACCCUCCUUCUGGAUUCAAAUCAAAAGGUACGCCCCCCAAAAGCUGGAAUCCGGGAAUACUCAGGGCUAAGGGGAAGGCAGAGCGAAGGUCCCAAGACCCCUCCCCCACAACCCAGAGGGCUGAGCCCCCAGCAGCAGCAGCGGGAACCUCUGAGCGGGCAAAGGUGCUGGUUUGGAGGGUCUACUUUGUGAGCAGCGGGGCGCCGGGUUCGGAGCAUCCAGCUUGGACAGCGGGGAGGAAGCCAGGGAGAGACGGGAGCCGUGACUGGGUCCCUCCAUCAGGCUCCAGUCUCACCGUUGCCUCGGGGCACAUCCAGACCAAUCCAGUUGAACAUAAUUCCAUCAGAACUCCUCAGAGUUUAGGGAGGCGGGCAAAGGCACUUGUGGACAGCAGAGAAGCAGCUGGAGAGAACUGGAGAGAGCCUGGGCAGCCCAGCUUUCCAGGAGUAUUCAGAGCCUCACAGCUUCAUACCACAUACAGCCCAACCCAGUUGAACUCAAUCCAAUCAAAAGCCCCCAGAGGACAGAGAAGCUAACAUUCCUCCCCUAGAGACUGUACCAAGAGAUCUGACAAAGCUCCAAGAGGGGAGACUGACAGCCCCAAAACCAAAACAAAAUGAGAGGAGUAAGAGCACAGCCAAAUACGGGGAGCAAAGAAGGGGUAAACUCGAGCAAACAACAGAAAAAGAAGAAAGAAAUUACAAUAGACAGCUUCUGCACAGGUAAUGAGCAAAAAGCGAAGGAAACAGAGGGGGAGGGAUCAGCAAAGGAAAAAUCAGAAAUCCCAGCCAAUUGGAUACAGGCUUUGGAAGAACUCAAAAUGCAAUUCAAAACACAAUUAAGAGAGGCUGAAGACAAUUGGGAAAAGAACUUAAAAACUAAGAUAAGUCAUCUGGAAACAGAAAAUAGUGUCUUGAAAGCCAAAAUCAACCAGCUGGAAAAUGAGGCAAAGGAGAUGAAAGAUGAGGCAAAGCAGAUGAAAGAUGAGGUGAAGAAGAUGAAAGAUGACCUCCAAAGCAAAUCUGUUUAGUGAACACAACACCUUGGUGACUAAAAAGAUGGCUGAACUGAUCCAUCAUGCUCAAAGAUAGCCAGCCAGCUGAGCUUUGGAAUUCUUUGACUCAAUUGCAUUGAUCAUUUCUCCAAACUGUAUUUUGUAUAUUUCCUGUGUGGAGCAAAUUAUUUAUAGGUUGCCUUCCCAAAUAGAAUGUAAGCUCCCUGAGACUGGGGAAGGUUUAUGCUAUUCCUUGUAUCCCUAGCACUUUGACACAGAACCCAAUCACAGUGAAUAUGCCUGUUGCCUAUCCAACUUACUUAACUGUUGACUAAAUUAAAAGUGUAACACUUCUCCAGUGCCCUUUUAAGAGUGCUUUUAAGUUGAAAGAUAGGGUAAAUGCUGCAUCAGUUCAAUCAUAGAAGAGAAGAGUAGAGUAAUGAGAACCAACAGAGAACUGAAAUGACUGGAAAGGAAAUUAGAGAUGAUAGAAGAAACAUAGAUAUUUGCCAAUAAGAUGAGAAUUCAAUGUACCUGAAGGA